rnacentral:sRNA from 1 species
CUUUCUACAAAAAGCAGAACGCCCUCCGGCAUGGCCGGAGGGCGUUCUGUAUUUCAAACCAACGAAG